rnacentral:rRNA from 1 species
AUUGAACGCUGGCGGCAUGCUUUACACAUGCAAGUCGAACGGCAGCGCGGGCUUCGGCCUGGCGGCGAGUGGCGAACGGGUGAGUAAUACAUCGGAACGUGCCCCGUAGUGGGGGAUAGCUCGGCGAAAGCCGGAUUAAUACCGCAUACGACCUGAGGGUGAAAGCGGGGGAUCUUCGGACCUCGCGCUCUUGGGGCGGCCGAUGGGAGAUUUGCUAGUUGGUGGGGUAAAGGCCUACCAAGGCGACGAUCUGUAGCUGGUCUGAGAGGACGACCAGCCACACUGGGACUGAGACACGGCCCAGACUCCUACGGGAGGCAGCAGUGGGGAAUUUUGGACAAUGGGCGAAAGCCUGAUCCAGCAAUGCCGCGUGUGUGAUGAAGGCCUGCGGGUUGUAAAGCACUUUUGGCGGGAACGAAAAGGACUGUGCCAAGACCACGGUUCGAGGACGGUACCCGCAGAAUAAGCACCGGCUAACUACGU